rnacentral:rRNA from 1 species
UGAGUGGCGGACGGGUGAGUAACGCGUGGGCAACCUGGCCUGUACAGGGGGAUAACACUUAGAAAUAGGUGCUAAUACCGCAUAACGGGGGAAGCCGCAUGGCUUCUCCCUGAAAACUCCGGUGGUACAGGAUGGGCCCGCGUCUGAUUAGCCAGUUGGCAGGGUAACGGCCUACCAAAGCGACGAUCAGUAGCCGGCCUGAGAGGGCGGACGGCCACACUGGGACUGAGACACGGCCCAGACUCCUACGGAAGGCAGCAG